GUCCGAGUGGCUCAAUGGUAGAGCAUUAGACUUCUAAUCUAAGGGUUGUGGGUUCAAGUCCCAUCUCGGAUG
rfam:Daphnia pulex DAPPTscaffold_3452_Cont14896, whole genome shotgun sequence.